AGUGGAAUAACUGGGCCAAAUGAUGGUUCCAUUUUCUGAGGAAUCUCCAUACUGCUUUCCAGAGUGGCUGCACGGAUUUGCAGUCCCACCAAGUAU
rnacentral:pre_miRNA from 1 species